GUCCACGCCGUAAACGAUGUCGACUAGCCGUUGGAGACCUUAGAGUCUUUAGUGGCGCAGCUAACGCAUUAAGUCGACCGCCUGGGGAGUACGGCCGCAAGGUUAAAACUCAAAUGAAUUGACGGGGGCCCCGCACAAGCGGUGGAGCAUGUGGUUUAAUUCGAUGCAACGCGAAGAACCUUACCGCCCCUUGACAUCCUGGGAACUCGCUAGAGAUAGCUUGGUGCCGAAAGGAACCCAGAGACAGGUGCUGCAUGGCUGUCGU
rnacentral:rRNA from 1 species